AGAAAGAGAAGCAAGGCGUUGUGGGUUCUCCUAAGUGCUGCUGUUGAGCCGUUGGUUCUCCUGGAGGAGCUGAUCAUGUUGCCUUCCUCAGUGAGGACGGAGUGAUGUGAUAGGGAUGAAAGUCCACUGGGAAUGAUAAAUCCUUCUACAAAUGAUCACGGUGCUCAGUAACAGGGUCUCACUGUGCAGUUUUAGGCUGGCCUUCAGCUCACUUUGUAGCCCAGACUGGUCUCAAACUCACAACGAUCCUCCUGCCUCAGCCUCCCGAGUGCUGGGAUUACACGCAUGUGUCAUCACACCCAGCAACAAUCUUCUUUUAAUAAAGUGCUUCCCCUUUACAUUUUGCCACUGAUUUUAUCAGUAUUGUCUCUGUCAUUUUAUUUUGUAUUUUAUUAAAAGUAUC